rnacentral:misc_RNA from 1 species
AGGAGGCUUCGGUGGAGGCAUGCCUGGAGGGUUCCCAGGUGCUGCGCCUGGGGGCGCCCCUGGAAAUAUUGACAUGAGCAGUAUUCUGAAUGAUCCUGAACUCAUGGCGGCGUUUAGUGAUCCAGAGAUUAUGGCUGCUCUUCAAGAUGUGAUGAGCAACCCGGCAAAUAUUGCGAAACACCAAUCAAAUCCAAAGGUGGCACCCGUGCUUGCUAAAAUGAUGGGGAAAUUCGCUGGGAACAAGUAAUCACAAUUUGCUGUAUCUCUGGAUGUGUUGCAGUUUGCCCGGUCUAAUGAAGUUUACUAGUGGUCUUUAACUUGGUUUAUUUGCGGUUGUUUGUUAUAUACAUUGCUGAGAUGAUUACUGUUGAUGAGACCUUUUGUAAGGUGCUUGUGAUUUUCAUGCAUUUUGG